UACGUAUGGAGCAAGCGUUAUCCGGAUUUACUGGGUGUAAAGGGAGCGCAGGCGGCUUUGCAAGUCUGAUGUGAAAGGCCGGGGCUCAACCCCGGGACCGCAUUGGAAACUGUAAAGCUAGAGUGCCGGAGAGGUAAGCGGAAUUCCUAGUGUAGCGGUGAAAUGCGUAGAUAUUAGGAGGAACACCAGUGGCGAAGGCGGCUUACUGGACGGCAACUGACGCCGAGGCUCGAAAGCGUGGGGAGCAAACAGG
rnacentral:rRNA from 1 species